GCCUAGGCACGGUGGUGCAUGCCUGUAAUCCCAGCAGCUCGAGAGGCUGAGGCAGGAGGAUCGCUAGUACAAAGCCAGCCUCAGCAAAAGUGAAGUGCCAGGCAACUCAGUGAGACCCUGUCUCUA
rnacentral:sRNA from 1 species